UACAGGGGGUGCAAACGUUGCUCGGAAUUACUGGGCGUAAAGCGUGCGUAGGUGGUUUGUUAAGUCCGAUGUGAAAGCCCUGGGCUCAACCUGGGAAUGGCAUUGGAUACUGGCAGGCUAGAGUGCGGUAGAGGGCAGUGGAAUUCCCGGUGUAGCAGUGAAAUGCGUAGAGAUCGGGAGGAACAUCUGUGGCGAAGGCGACUGCCUGGACCAGCACUGACACUGAGGCACGAAAGCGUGGGGAGCAAACAGG
rnacentral:rRNA from 1 species